AAAUUUUGAGGUUAGUUUCAGAAGAAAAGUAAUAAAGAAUUUUAUUUGAGGUUAGUUCUAUGAUGGAUUGUGGAUUCAUUGUGAUUUACCUCGUUUACCUUGGAAUUGCUUCAGUUUAAAACUACAAUCAUGACAUCAGAAAUUAUUAACACGGAUUCACUAGAGAAAGAUGAGGAUACAUCUGACGAUGAAAAUGGUUGGGAGAAAGCUUUUGCUUUGCGAGAGAAUGGCCUUUGGGAACCUGAACCUGAAGUAAUGUUCAAAUAUCUAAUGGAACUGGAAAGCAAAGGCUAUUGUGAGUUACAAUGGGAAUGUCCAGGACGAAGACCUCUCACGCCUCAGGACACCGAUGACAGGUCAGACGAUCACGAAAACACCACUGGUGAAGCGCAUGAAGAAGAUAACUCUGAUUUUGAAUUCAAAGAUGAAAUGUCUCAGUUGAAGCUUCCCGUCCGUCCUGCAGGUGAGAAUCCUGGCCCAAGGGGUAGUGCCAAGAAAAAGACUACUAGCUUGGAUGCCAUCCUCUCAAACAUGGCAAGGCAUAGGAAAUUAGAUAUGAUGGAUCAAGACGAAUAAUGAUGCGGUUGGAACGACGAGGAACAAAGCCAAGAUGAUCUGAAGAUGUGGGUGGAUAACGAUGAAUUCAAGUGGAGUCCAACCACCAGGAGCCCAAGUCACACCUCCUAGCGCUAAGUCUCAACUUCACGCAUUCAUUCGCUCAUUUUUUAUCUGAUGUAAGGAGACACAUGUGAAUUUUUUCAAAUGGUUUCAUACUGCCUUGAGAGAUAGUACUUUGAACCACUUUUCACCAUUAGAUACCACGCAUUCAUUCGCUCAUUUUUUAUCUGAUGUAAGGAGACGCAUGUGAGUUUUUUUCAAAUGGUUUCAUACUGCCUUGAGAGAUAGUACUUUGAACCACUUUUCACCAUUAGAUACGGUAUUUGGGAAUAUUGCACUUCAAACUUCUAUUUUCAUAAUCUUGCCGGUCUUUAAUAAGAGUGAUUGAAUGACAUUCGUUAUGAUUAUAUUAUUUGUUAUGAUGUAGGCUACUUUAAUAAUGAACUAUAAUGUUGCUAUGUUACCCUACUUCUAGUAUAUUAUAUGAAAUCUUCCCUAUUUAAUUCAGGUUAUUGACGCAUAAAAAAAUUACUUUUAAAAUUAGCGUAUCUUGAAUGUCCCACAAAUUAUUGUACAUAUAUUUUUUAAAUUUUUAUGAUCAAGUUUUCGUUCUUGAGAUCACAUUUUUCAUGAUUUGUUGCUAUCAUGUUUCUAUUUCAUGAAAUUAUGUGAAUAAAAUAAUAUUAUCCACUUUUAUCGCCAUUUUUCUAUUCGUUUAAUCUUUCCAUGUGAUGCAAACUCAUAUAAAAGUAAUAUAACAAUUUGACAACACUACGGAGGAACUAUAAAUGGGAGGAGUAGGCCAAAUCAGCGUUGUGAAAUGACAGACAAGAGUAGCGAAUCAGGUGCUGAUUUCAUAAAGUGAAUAUCACUUUUAUGUACAGGAAGGCAGUAUGUAACUAUAGUAAUAAUACUCUGUGGGUAUUUCCUUUUUUUGAGUAGCAGAGUAGCCAUGCAUUUUGAAAAGCUGGCUUCAAUUGGGUUUAAGUAAUAAAAAAUCAGAUAUUUUUUGAGAAAAUAUUUUCUAUAAUUUUCUGGUUACAAUAAUAACUACAAUAGCUUUCAUACUAGUAAGUCAAAUGAAACAUUCAUAUAAAAGUACAGCUUCCAUUUAUACAGGUUAUAAAAUCGAUUCAAACUUUGAUUUAGUGUUGUAGUUGAAAUGGUAGUGUAGGAUGUUAGGUAGAUAAUAACAUAAAUAUCUAAAUUUCACGUUUCUCUAAAAUAGUGGGACUUAUAGAUUGGAAGUUUAGAAUUAAUGACUCUUGAAUACGUACAAUUAAAAUACGUUGAACCAAUAAAUUUUCAGUUCAUAUAAUCUUAAAUAUUUUGCUCUAUCAUAUCCAUUUUACUUAUCCUAAGUUAGUUUUGAUUUGCUUGGAUUUAACCAAUUUUUUUCAUAUUACCAAUAUUUUUACUUGUAACUUUCUUACAAAUAAAGUUUUCUAAUUUCUAUAAAAA